UAUGAAAGGAGGUAAAGCCUGCUCACUGAAUUUUGAAGAGCCGCAGUAUACUGACUGUGCUAAGGUAGCAUAAUAAUUUGUCUCUUAAUUGGGGACUAGAAUGAAUGGUUUAACGAGAAAUUAACUUUUUUAGGGGUAACAAUUUAAUUUAAUUCUUUAGUGAAAAAGCUAAAAUGAAAUAGAAAGACGAGAAGACCCUAUAGAGUUUCAUAUGUAAAUUAUUUUUGAUUUAUUAAAUUUUUAGAAUCAAAGCUAAAAAACAUAUUUUGUUGGGGCGACAUUUAGAUAAGAAAAACUUUUUAUAUUAAAAACUUAAAUUCAAGAAUCUUUGAUCCUUAAAAAAGAUUAGAAGUAUAAAUUACCUUAGGGAUAACAGCGUAAUCUCCCUUGAGAGCCCAAAUCGACAGGGAGGUUUGCGACCUCGAUGUUGGACUAAAAUUAAAUUAAGGUGCAGAAGUCUUAAGUUUAGGUCUGUUCGACCUAUAAAUUUUU
rnacentral:rRNA from 2 species